AUACGUAGGGGGCGAGCGUUGUCCGGAAUGAUUGGGCGUAAAGGGCGCGUAGGCGGCCCGGUAAGUCUGGAGUGAAAGUCCUGUUUUUAAGAUGGGAAUUGCUUUGGAUACUGUCGGGCUUGAGUGCAGGAGAGGUAAGUGGAAUUCCCAGUGUAGCGGUGAAAUGCGUAGAGAUUGGGAGGAACACCAGUGGCGAAGGCGACUUACUGGACUGUAACUGACGCUGAGGCGCGAAAGUAUGGGGAGCAAACAGGAUUAGAUACCCUGGUAGUCCACACUGUAAACGAUGAAUGCUAGGUGUAGGGGGUAUCGACCCCUUCUGUGCCGCAGUCAACACAAUAAGCAUUCCGCCUGGGGAGUACGGCCGCAAGGUUGAAACUCAAAUGAAUUGACGGGG
rnacentral:rRNA from 1 species